rfam:Aspergillus kawachii IFO 4308 DNA, contig: scaffold00015.
GGCAAGAUGGCCGAGUUGGUCCAAGGCGUCAGGUUUAGGUCCACCUAAAUAAAUCAGCUUGUUUAAAGCUUCCUGAUCAUCUUUCGAUGGCGUGGGUUCGAAUCCCACUCUUGUCA